CGUGUAGGCGGCCUGUUAAGUCUGGAGUGAAAGUCCUGCUUUUAAGGUGGGAAUUGCUUUGGAUACUGAUGGGCUUGAGUGCAGGAGAGGUUAUCGGAAUUCCCGGUGUAGCGGUGAAAUGCGUAGAGAUCGGGAGGAACACCAGUGGCGAAGGCGGGUAACUGGACUGCAACUGACGCUGAGGCGCGAAAGUGUGGGGAGCAAACA
rnacentral:rRNA from 1 species